rnacentral:rRNA from 2 species
CAGCGGCCGCGGUAGAACCAGCGCCUCAAGUGGUCGGGAUAAUUAUUGGGCCUAAAGCAUCCAUAGCAGGCUGUGUAAGUUUUGGGUUAAAUCUGUACUCUCAACGUACAGGCUGCCGGGAAUACUGCAGAGCUAGGGAGUGGGAGAGGUAGACGGUACUCGGUAGGAAGGGGUAAAAUCCUUUGAUCUAUUGAUGACCACCUGUGGCGAAGGCGGUCUACCAGAACACGUCCGACGGUGAGGGAUAAAAGCUGGGGGAGCAAACCUGAUUAGAUACCCGGGUAGUCCCAGCUGUAAACUAUGCAAACUCAGUGAUGCACUGGCUUGUGGCCAAUGCAGUGCUGCAGGGAAGCCGUUAAGUUUGCCGCCUGGGAAGUACGUACGCAAGUAUGAAACUUAAAGGAAUUGGCGGGGGAGCAC